AUGGCUCCCUUGGGCGUGGCCAGACCCAAGUACCCUCUUCUGCAGACCACCGUCGACCUCUCGGGUGUGGUGCUGAGCACGGCGUGCAUUGGCUUCUCGGCGGCAACGGGCGCACUCGCCACAGGACACUUCGUCUUCGGCUGGAGCUUUGCGCUGGAUAGGCCAGCCCCUGCGCUGACCAUCUCAGCGCUGCCGGCCUUGCCGCCGUUAGCCUGGCCCAAGCCAAAGUCCAAUUCCAAGAUUCUGGAGAUAGUGCUGGCCGUAACGUCGGCGACGGUGGUUUCCGCCAUAGGCCUCGGAAUCUACAUAUUUGUAAGCAGUGGCGGUGCCAGGAUCAAAACCUUGUGA
rnacentral:rRNA from 1 species